rnacentral:rRNA from 1 species
CAGUAGCCGCGGUAAAACGUAGGGUGCAAGCGUUAAUCGGAAUUACUGGGCGUAAAGCGUGCGCAGGCGGUUUUGUAAGACAGAGGUGAAAUCCCCGGGCUCAACCUGGGAACUGCCUUUGUGACUGCAAGGCUAGAGUACGGCAGAGGGGGAUGGAAUUCCGCGUGUAGCAGUGAAAUGCGUAGAUAUGCGGAGGAACACCGAUGGCGAAGGCAAUCCCCUGGGCCUGUACUGACGCUCAUGCACGAAAGCGUGGGGAGCAAACAGGAUUAGAUACCCCUGUAGUCCCUGUCUCUUAUAA